rnacentral:rRNA from 1 species
AGUUUGAUCAUGGCUCAGGAUGAACGCUAGCAGGAGGCUUAAUACAUGCAAGUCGAGCGGGAUCCACCUUUCGGGGUGGUGAGAGCGGCGCACGGGUGAGUAACGCGUACACGACCUACCUCUGACAAGGGGAUAGCCCUGGGAAACUGGGAUUAAUACCCUAUACGAUUCCGGAUAAUAAAGGUCUGGAAUGAAAGCUCCGGCGGUCAGAGAUGGGUGUGCGUCUGAUUAGCUAGUUGGUAGGGUAACGGCCUACCAAGGCGAUGAUCAGUAGGGGGCGUGAGAGCGUGGUCCCCCACACGGGUACUGAGACACGGACCCGACUCCUACGGGAGGCAGCAGUAAGGAAUAUUGGGCAAUGGGCGCAAGCCUGACCCAGCUAUGCCGCGUGUGUGAAGAAGGCCUUCGGGUUGUAAAGCACUUUAAGUCAGGAGGAAGGCCUAAUGGUUAAUACCUAUUAGGAUUGACGUUACUGACAGAAUAGGCACCGGCUAACUCCGUG